rnacentral:rRNA from 1 species
AAAAGCACUUUGAAAAGAGAGUGCAAGAGAACGUGAAACCGUUAUAGUGGAAGCGGAUGGAGCCGACGUAUCCAGUACGUAUUCAGUUGUCGCCUGGCGCAGAUGUUUYUUGUUAGUUCUGUAAAGUCUACAAUGAGGUUAUUUGUGUUAGUUGGCAAUGCACUUGCGUACAGAGUGCGCCGAAUCGGUUGGUUGUGCUGUUUAAGAGUAACAUAGAGGACUAGCUUGCUAGAAACCUGUGUGACUGGAGAACAGAUGCGGCUGGCUGUAGAGAGGUUGGUGAACUCGUGGUUGGCUGUUGGAGUUAGGUUGGCUCUUGUGUGACGCAUGCGUUGCGCAUAGGUUGAUUUGGUUGCAAUGGUCGAUUGCUCAACUUCAAAUUCGGUGUCUAGUUGGUCACCCAUUCGACCCGUCUUGAAACACGGACCAAGGAGUUUAAGGUGUGCGCAAGUCAUUGAGUGUGAAAACUCAUAGGCGUGAUGAAAGUGGGACACUUGGUGUCUGUGAUGCGACCUGCUGGAGUCUCGAUUCCUGCGGGGCAGCAUCGACCCAUGACUAGGACUUGUUCUGUUGUGGAGUCUGAGCGUACGCUUUGAGACCCGAAAGAUGGUGAACUAUGCCUGAACAGGACGAAGUCAGAGGAAACUCUGAUGGAAGUCCGAAGCGGUUCUGACGUGCAAAUCGAUCGUCUGAUUUGGGUAUAGGGGCGCAAGACUAAUCGAACCAUC